AGCUAGUCUGAAGGUAGUUAUCUAAAUUGGUUACAGUUAUACAGCUGUUCACAGAUUGAAUUCCCUGUUCUGCUCUUUGCUGCCUUCUCACUACUGUACUUGCCUAGGCUUUAA
rnacentral:sRNA from 10 species